UAUUUAUGUACCUCUUGCACACUCAUCAACCUAUGCAAGUCCCCCACCCCGGCCCUCCAUGUUUCUGUGCCUUUGCUCAUCCCCUCAAUCUCCCAGGGCUUCUCCAGUCCCCCUCCCACUAGCUGCAGGAAGUGGGAUGGAUGGGCCACCUCGUUUGGAAUCAGCAGGGUGUCCCUCUCAUGGGACCCUCCCCUCUCCCCAGCCUGUCCUGUCUUGUUCACUCUCCAUCAGGGUGAGCUGACUGUGCCUGGCACUGGGAGGUGGUGAGGGACACCGUCUCACACACACAGGGAGGCAAGAGCUGCCCCCCACCCCACCUGACAGCAGAGUGUGCAGGACGCAGGCGGCCCCACUCUGAUGGGCAGGACCCUGACCCUCUCCCGCUCCAGCCCCCUCCCCAGGCCCUCCUCCAUGAUUUCACCCUCCCUACCCACUUCUGUCCCCGGCCCCACUGGCAGAAUCAGCUUUGAGUAACUGUACAGUUUUUCUCGCUGUUGGAGAAGACUUAUUUGUUGGAGUUUCACUUGUUUAAUGGUCUGGGCUUAUUUUGGAAAAAAAAAAAACAAACAAAAAAAACG
rnacentral:lncRNA from 1 species